GGAGUUUUGACAGCGAUUUUGUUUCACCAGCUACUGCAGCCAGAUACCUUAUAAGCAGAGGAAUAGUAGUAGUAGUAGUAGUAGUAAUAAUAAUAAUAAUAACAACAAUAAUAAUAACAAUAAUAAUAAUAAUAAUGAUGAUGAUGAUGAUGAUAAUAUUCAAGCUAAAGGUUGUGAAUUGAAAAACAUAUCACAGCUAUGAAUGAGUGGUCAGUUCAGGCACAAAGCCUCCUCCAAGCCUGGUCUUGGUGACUAAGCUGCCAUUCCUGGUGGCUGCCAGAAGUGAUUUCAAGAUGCUGGACCCGGCAAGUCCCCUCUUACAGAACCAGAGGUCUCACAGCUAAAACGUGAAGGCAGCAUUUUUGUAUAUGGCCAAAACCAAGAGUGGUUUUAGGAGCAAAUGCAAAGAAUGGAGGAAAACGAUCGGCUCAGGACGUCGUCUGAGGAGGAAGACCAGCCAGAGACCCCCACUGGCUCCCCUUGGUCUUGGAUUCCGUUGAUGAAAGAUCCCGGUUGGAUUCGAAACGUCUGGACUCGCAAUCUAAAUAUUUCUCAUAACGUAGUACAGAAAUAUAUGAAGAAGAGGAGGAGGAAGAAUUUUGUAAUGUGGACAUGCUACAUUUAAAAUGUGCUACAGAGAAGGGAGAUCGUGGGAAAUUAGCAAACCACCAAUGAUAAAAAUAUCCCAAAGAUGUUGCAGAUAAAAGAUGUAUUUGCACUAAGUGGUGCCUACGUCUGUACAGACAAGUUAGCAGCAUGAAACAGAAAGUGAGAAAACCCUGUCAAACCGAAUCUGCCACAGGAAGCAGAAUUACACAGGAUAAAUUACAUCUGACCUGGACAAGGAAGAUGAGCAAUGAGCAUGAUCCCAACCCCAUGCAAGCAACAUGCCAAACACGCAGGGUGAACGGGCUGGGCUGUCACCCAGGGCUGCCGGGGAGGGGCAUCUGAUAUCACCGGGAUGACUGCACAGGGAGGCUUUUUUGUUUGUGUCCAAAUUGCAGUGUGGGGGUGGGCAUGGGGAAAAACAGGGCGCCUGGAGAGUUCAGAUCAGAAGCAGACAUGUACCUUGACAUGACUCUGAGCUACCUGUGGGUAUGACUUUGUUUUUUAUUCUAUUAAAUAGAAUUGUUUUCUGUA